rnacentral:lncRNA from 1 species
AGCAUGAUGUCUUAUCCAUACUAAAAUAUUAUAAUAGAAGAAUAAUAAUAAAAAGUGUCAAAUUUGUCCUCUUUUGACAAUAUAUGGAAAUUUAACAUAAAUAUUCAAAAUAAAACUUUUAAAUUUGUUAAAUUUUUUGAAAAACUAAAGGGUAUUAAAAUAUCAUGAUUUUAUAACUGCUGUGAUUCUAUCUACUUGAAAUUCUGUACUCUCCAUAAUUUACCUCGAUCUUUUGCUAAAUGCAAAUAAAUAAGUAAGCAAAUCUGUUCUUAACUACACAAGGUUGGUGGUGUGUACAUAAGUCCAUGUUAUUGUCAUGAGUAUGAUUCUUUUUUACCAUAUCAUAUCUAAGCUACCAUAAUUUUUUAGGUGAUACUCUUUAAACCUUAUCUAAGUACAUGUAAUUGGGAUCUUCAACUGAAAGGGAAACUGAAUGAAAAUUUAAAAAAAAUAUUAUUCAAUUCAAUUCAACAACAUGUUUCCCUUUCACAUUGUUUCAGGUGUGAUAAACAUGAGAAAUUAGUUUUUUGAACUCAUGAAUUUUUUUUAAGACAAAAUUAAAUAUACACAUGUACAUGUAUAUUACAUAUUCAAAAUUCAACAAAGCUAAUUCAAAUAUAACAGACAUUGUUCAUUUUCUUAAUAAUCCCAUAAGUACUUCAUGCUCAUGACAAUUAACAAACAAUUCACUGUUAGAAUCUAAUGCAUUCUGG